AGACCAUGAUGAGGACACUCUAGGAGAAGGUCUUUGAAACGUUCCAUGCAUCGAGAAAAUGAUUCGUUGGGUUUUUGGCGAAAUUGAAGAAUGUCGUUCCUUAGUUU
rfam:Cephalotus follicularis DNA, scaffold: scaffold5707, isolate: St1.